GAUGAACGCUGGCGGCGUGCCUAAUACAUGCAAGUCGAGCGAACGGACGAGAAGCUUGCUUCUCUGAUGUUAGCGGCGGACGGGUGAGUAACACGUGGAUAACCUACCUAUAAGACUGGGAUAACUUCGGGAAACCGGAGCUAAUACCGGAUAAUAUUUUGAACCGCAUGGUUCAAAAGUGAAAGACGGUCUUGCUGUCACUUAUAGAUGGAUCCGCGCUGCAUUAGCUAGUUGGUAAGGUAACGGCUUACCAAGGCAACGAUGCAUAGCCGACCUGAGAGGGGGGACGGGCACACUGGAACUGAGACACGGUCCAGACUCCUACGGGAGGGAGGAGUAGGGAAUCUUCCACAAUGGGCGAAAGCCUGACGGGGCAACGCCGCGUGAGUGAUGAAGGUCUUCGGAUCGUAAAACUCUGUUAUUAGGGAAGAACAUAUGUGUAAGUAACUGUGCACAUCUUGACGGUACCUAAACAGAAAGCCACGGCUAAAUACGUAC
rnacentral:rRNA from 1 species